rnacentral:lncRNA from 1 species
CAGAUGUGGAAGAUUGACUGGAGAUCAGUCUCAGGUGUGUUUUGAUCGCCCGCUCCACCCAGCCUGAGAACAGACAGACAAGGGACACAGACAAGACACAGAUGGGGAGGGGAAGAGGGAAAACACAUGGGACUCCUAACAAAAUCAGAUGGCGAUCUAAUCCCUAAAUGUUUUCAAUGUUUCCAGUUUACUGAUGUGUUCCAGGAUGUUAAUGUUCCUGAUUGGAGCUGCAAACAUCUACUGGCAGACUGUGACAGCAGAUGUGUACAUUUCUGAGCUGAAGGUGCAGAGCAAUGCCACGCUGGAAACAUCAACCAUCUUGGCUAUGUUGAAAGCAUCUACCUUCCAAGUGACUGCCGCAGGUGGGGUCUCCCACACUGUGACCAUCGAGCAAACUCAACUGGUAGCAGAGUGCCUGAUAAUUGGGCAAAAAUACAGUUGCAACUGCUCUGAAGGCUACGUUUGGAGCAACGAAGUCUGCUACACUCACCAGUGUUGCAGUGAAAAGACCUGCAACCAUAAUUUAGCCAACGUUACACAAGUCUGUGUGGCCAAAGCUGAAGGUAAAAACAUGCCUGUUCUCGAGCUGCUGUUCACCAGUUUCUCUGUUUUAACAGCGUGA